rnacentral:rRNA from 1 species
GAUGAACGCUGACAGAAUGCUUAACACAUGCAAGUCUACUUGAUCCUUCGGGUGAUGGUGGCGGACGGGUGAGUAACGCGUAAAGAACUUGCCCUGCAGUCUGGGACAACAUUUGGAAACGAAUGCUAAUACCGGAUAUUAUGUGAGUUUCGCAUGCAUAACUUAUGAAAGCUAUAUGCGCUGUGAGAGAGCUUUGCGUCCCAUUAGCUAGUUGGAGAGGUAACGGCUCACCAAGGCGAUGAUGGGUAGCCGGCCUGAGAGGGUGAACGGCCACAAGGGGACUGAGACACGGCCCUU